AAUUAGUGAUGGGGACAUUAGCUUAUGAAGAGAUUAUAAUGUUCCCAUGCCUCAUGGAACAAUUCACUAUUUUGCUGUAAGAAGAAGUGAAUCUUGUCCCUUAAUUC